rnacentral:rRNA from 1 species
UACGAAGGGGGCUAGCGUUGCUCGGAAUUACUGGGCGUAAAGGGCGCGUAGGCGGCACUGUUAGUCAGGCGUGAAAUUCCUGGGCUCAACCUGGGGACUGCGCUUGAUACGGCAGAGCUAGAGGAUGGAAGAGGCUCGCGGAAUUCCCAGUGUAGAGGUGAAAUUCGUAGAUAUUGGGAAGAACACCGGUGGCGAAGGCAGCUCUCUGGGACGGUACUGACGCUGAGACGCGAAAGCGUGGGGAGCGAACAGG